rnacentral:rRNA from 1 species
GAUGAACGCUGGCGGCGUGCCUAAUACAUGCAAGUCGAGCGAACGGACGAGAAGCUUGCUUCUCUGAUGUUAGCGGCGGACGGGUGAGUAACACGUGGAUAACCUACCUAUAAGACUGGGAUAACUUCGGGAAACCGGAGCUAAUACCGGAUAAUAUUUUGAACCGCAUGGUUCAAAAGUGAAAGACGGUCUUGCUGUCACUUAUAGAUGGAUCCGCGCUGCAUUAGCUAGUUGGUAAGGUAACGGCUUACCAAGGCAACGAUGCAUAGCCGACCUGAGAGGGUGAUCGGCCACACUGGAACUGAGACACGGUCCAGACUCCUACGGGAGGCAGCAGUAGGGAAUCUUCCGCAAUGGGCGAAAGCCUGACGGAGCAACGCCGCGUGAGUGAUGAAGGUCUUCGGAUCGUAAAGCUCUGUUAUUAGGGAAGAACAUAUGUGUAAGUAACUGUGCACAUCUUGACGGUACCUAAUCAGAAAGCCACGGCUAACUACGUGCCAGCAGCCGCGGUAAUACGUAGGUGGCAAGCGUUAUCCGGAAUUAUUGGGCGUAAAGCGCGCGUAGGCGGUUUUUUAAGUCUGAUGUGAAAGCCCACGGCUCAACCGUGGAGGGUCAUUGGAAACUGGAAAACUUGAGUGCAGAAGAGGAAAGUGGAAUUCCAUGUGUAGCGGUGAAAUGCGCAGAGAUAUGGAGGAACACCAGUGGCGAAGGCGACUUUCUGGUCUGUAACUGACGCUGAUGUGCGAAAGCGUGGGGAUCAAACAGGAUUAGAUACCCUGGUAGUCCACGCCGUAAACGAUGAGUGCUAAGUGUUAGGGGGUUUCCGCCCCUUAGUGCUGCAGCUAACGCAUUAAGCACUCCGCCUGGGGAGUACGACCGCAAGGUUGGAACUCAAAGGAAUUGACGGGGACCCGCACAAGCGGUGGAGCAUGUGGUUUAAUUCGAAGCAACGCGAAGAACCUUACCAAAUCUUGACAUCCUUUGACAACUCUAGAGAUAGAGCCUUCCCCUUCGGGGGACAAAGUGACAGGUGGUGCAUGGUUGUCGUCAGCUCGUGUCGUGAGAUGUUGGGUUAAGUCCCGCAACGAGCGCAACCCUUAAGCUUAGUUGCCAUCAUUAAGUUGGGCACUCUAAGUUGACUGCCGGUGACAAACCGGAGGAAGGUGGGGAUGACGUCAAAUCAUCAUGCCCCUUAUGAUUUGGGCUACACACGUGCUACAAUGGACAAUACAAAGGGCAGCGAAACCGCGAGGUCAAGCAAAUCCCAUAAAGUUGUUCUCAGUUCGGAUUGUAGUCUGCAACUCGACUACAUGAAGCUGGAAUCGCUAGUAAUCGUAGAUCGGCAUGCUACGGUGAAUACGUUCCCGGGUCU